GCUGAUGCGGUGACGCACGCCUGUAGUCCCAGCUACUCAGGAGGCUGAGAUAGGAGGAAGGCUUGAGUCUAGGAGUUGUGGGCUGUAGUGCACUAUGCCUAUCUGGUGUCUGCACUAAGUUUGGCAUCAAUAUGGUGACCUCCCAGGAGCAGGGGGCCACCAGGUUGCCUAAGGAGGGGUGAACUGGCCCAGGUCGGAAUUCCUGUGCUGAUCAGUAGUGGGAUCACACCUAUGAAUAGUCACUGCACUCUAGCCUAGGCAACAUAGCGAGAUCCCGUCUCUA
rfam:Otolemur garnettii contig083409, whole genome shotgun sequence.